AAAAAGGGUGUCUGCCGCUUUUAUGGCACGCGUACUCUUCCGGGGACGUGGGGUAUGGCCAUCAAGACAUACCCGGCACGUAAUUUUUGGAAAUGCGGGCAGUUGGUUUACCUAAGUGUACCGGCGCCCCA